rnacentral:RNase_P_RNA from 1 species
GGACGGUUUGUCGCUCAUAGAGAUAUGAGAGGAAAGUCCGGGCAACAAAGAGCACCGUACUUCUUAACGGGAAGCCGCUCGUGAGGGCGGAGUAACGUAACAGAAAAUAACCGCUGCGCAAGCAGUAAGGGUGAAAAGGCGAGGUAAGAGCUCACCGGGUCUUAUGGCAACAUAAGGUGCCGUACGUCUUACGGGUUGUAAGGUUAUGUAUACCGGCGUUGUAGGGCUGCUCGCUCUAUGCCGGGGGGUAAACCGCUGGAGCUUUAUGGUGACAUAAAGUCGAGAUAAAUGACAAACACUCCUUUCGGGGAGUACAGAACCCGGCUUACAGGCCUGCUGU